UACAGGAAUAAGAAGGGGAUGAUCUAUGCAUAAAUGGUCGUGAACUAAUAAUGAUCAAGAAGUGAUCCUGAACACCUACUUAAGAGUCAAACAUAACCCCAUCAUGUCCUCUCUCGGAUUAGAAACUCACGAGAAGUGACAAUCAUGGUUACGCACACAGUUGGCAUAUUUUAGUUGAGUUUACUUCAAGUUUGCUAUGACCGUGUGUUAAACAAAGUAUCCAAGUUGCCACAUAACUGCGGACAUGGCUUUCCAAAAAAUGUAACCCUGCAGGGGUGCUCCAACUAGUCCAUCACAAACUAUCACAAGCUGCCCCGGAUAGAAAACCUCAACCUCGAUAUAGCCCAAGGUAUUCUCGAUGACC
rnacentral:lncRNA from 1 species